rnacentral:rRNA from 1 species
GACGAACGCUGGCGGCGUGCUUAACACAUGCAAGUCGAGCGGUAAGGCCCUUUCGGGGGUACACGAGCGGCGAACGGGUGAGUAACACGUGGGUGACCUGCCCUCAGCUCUGGGAUAAGCCUGGGAAACCGGGUCUAAUACUGGAUAUGACUCCAUGACGCAUGUUGUGGGGUGGAAAGCCUUGUGCGGCUGAGGAUGGGCCCGCGGCCUAUCAGCUUGUUGGUGGGGUGAUGGCCUACCAAGGCGACGACGGGUAGCCGGCCUGAGAGGGCGACCGGCCACACUGGGACUGAGACACGGCCCAGACUCCUACGGGGGGCAGCAGUGGGGAAUCUUGCGCAAUGGGCGAAAGCCUGACGCAGCGACGCCGCGUGAGGGAUGACGGCCU